AAAAUCCAUUGCAACUAUAGUGGCACUGCCUUCACCCGGGUGGCACGGUCCAACGGAGCAGGGACAACAAGAACGCUCCUCUCUGCGAGAUAUGAUUCAACAAAAGUUCAAGCAAGAGAUGUUUGCUAAACCUCAAGAAGAAAUGUUGACUAUUCAAGCUAAAAAUACCACGUUGCAUCGGAAUGGUCAAAACUUGAGACCAGCUGCUAAAAAGGGCCGCAACUCCAAGACACCGGGCCAUGAAAGGGAGGCAGCGGGUCACCUUGUGACCUCCUUGCCUACCGAGGAAGGCUUGCCACAGCUGGACUUGUUAGCUCUCAAGUCUCCGAAGCCUGACGUAGAAAACCAGACUGAGAUUCAAGCCCUCAGACGACCCCUGAAACUUGCCCCGCUGGAGCUGCCAGAGAAGGUGAAGGAGGCUCAGAAGGAAAAGCUUAAGUUUAUCCACCAAGAACCCAACCCAGCCUCUUGUAAGCUGGAUGGGACCCAUACGAGGAAGGCAAAAUCAUGCAUGAGGCAAAGACUGGUAAAAGCAGAGGCAUUUCCUUCUGCUUCCAUUGCACCAGUCAAAGCCCAGCAGCAAAAUCAAUCAGCAAGGCCACAGCUGACGCGUGCCAACCCCAUAGAGCAGGAUGGACACAAGCAUCUGGAGGAUGUGGUGUGUCGAGGUACCCCAGCUCCUCUGUGCAGCAAACCUAACCCUCCCUCAUUUUUCCCUCAAAUUAAAGCUCAGGCUGCAUGUGGCAGAGAGGCGGCGUGCCACAUCCCUGGCAACUUCCAGGAGGAGACAGGUUGGAGGCGGCUAAGGCUGCCUAGAGCACAAUGCCUAGAAGAGGAUCAGUGCAAUUCAAACACGUCAACACUAGGAUUAUCAGCAGAUGAGUGCAAGCUGGUCCAAGGUGUCCAAGGCAAAGGGCAGCGGGGAGAGAGGCUUCUUCGAGGACAGCCACAUGUUGGGAAAGGCAUCAAACAGCCGCCUGCACCUGCAGCCUCCUGGGAGAAUGGAAGUGCCAGGAAGAGCCACGAGGAGGAUGGCAGUAAGCAAGCUGCACUCUGAACCGACAGUCAGCUGAAGGUGGAAGCAGAGAACAGGAACUUGAUAGUCUGAAGCCAAGUGCUGCUAACUGCAGAUUAAUGAGGAAAAAAGCCUUGAUCGCAAAGCAUAACAAUGCAGUCCCUCUGGAAUGUCUCUAAUAAAAUAGGAUGAUGUCAUCAUAAAGCACACACAUGCAGAGGACUGGUAUAGACUGGAAUGUACUCCAACUGGAAACCUGAUUUCUAGUAUUUUAAGCAGGAAUGUACAACAUAAUGAUUACUCUUCGGCAGUGCUUAUUUAUUUAUUUUUUAUUAACUCAAAUGUCUCCAGUGUGAAAAUAGCUCCUUAUGAAAUCUCGGGGGUGUAUUGUACAUGCUGUUGGCACAAAGACCCGGAUCAAGAUUUUUUUGUGGCCCAAAAACAGAAAAUGCAAUGAAAAAAACCUGGUUUAUGAUCAGAUGUGUAGAUAGGUCGGGAGCGCAUUUGUUUUGUUAAAUUAUCAUUCUUUCUGAUUUGUUAAAGCAAUUCUGCUUUUCUAAGCAGAAUUAAUUCGACCUAUAGGCAGCUACAGGAGUUUCUGAAUGCCAGCUGAGUUUUUUGUUGUUGUUUGAUCACACUCCUCCACCCUGGAAGUGCUUUAAUGUGGCUUUUGGAAACGAGCCAGGCAGGUAACAUUAGAGAUGUAACUCACCCCAAAGUAUGAACCCGUGAGCUCACUGUCAUUACUGCCAUUAUAUACUGUCUGCUUUAUUCAUUAAAUUAUCUUUGGUAACUAAGUGCUAUGUUUGCUCUAGAAAUAAAAAGGAGACUGUGGAUCCAAAACUUCUUUCCACUGCCCCCAAGUGGUCAGAAACAGCAGUUACUGAAAGAUUUACUGCAGUGAAAAUCUGCUGCUUGGAGUCAGCGUCUUAUAAACACCAAAGGAAAAGCUUCAAAAGCUUUUUCAGGGUUAUAGUCUAUGCCAACUGUGACCUCUGGCCAGGAAUAAACAAUAAAAGCCACUAAACAAGAAAAGUAAAACUUUUCAAGCCAAACCUGCAACAAAAUCAAUGAUAUAACUGUUUGCAGUGUUUUUCCACUCAUUAAAAAUCUGCAUAUGCAGUGCUGUCUCUUGUGGACCCCACUAAUAAGAAAAAACAAAGCACAAACAACAUGUUUGUAUAUUAAGAAGUUAACCUCUCUAGUAAAGAACCUUCUACACAUCACAUCAGACUUUCUAGUAAAAGUCCUUGUUUCAGUGCGAUCUUCAGUAUGUUUUGGUUUCUUUCACUUCCGCAGCUAUUACAUUUUAUUGCUAUUUCUCUUGUUUUAUUGAACAUCCAUUGUGUUCUGUUUGUCUUUGCACCAUUUUUCUAUUUGCCAGUUUUUCUUAAGCUGCAGUGUGUUUGACCUCUGAGGGCAGUCUAAGUACAACACUACACAAGUCAACAAUGACAAGAACUAAUUUCACAGACUCUACUGAAGGGCGGCCCUCAAGAGUGAUACCCUGGAACAGUAAGAAGUUUUAUGGUACAGAAAGUAGCUGUCUUUGUCAUUCAGGUUCAGUGGCAGAUGCCAUUGAGGUGUUUUGAAACCAGUGUGGCUCACAGACGGACUGAAAACGACUCUCAGCUCUCUGAAACUGUGACCCCUGUAAACACUGCUAGUGAUUUUAUAGCCCUAGUUGCGGGUUUCAGGUCAUACUGAUUAAAUAAUUAAUUUCUGAAAGGGAGAUUUGUCUCCAAAGCGCUUGCUGAUGGGGCAUCAUGGAGAUUAUUCUGGUUUUCUCUGUUUUCUUUGUAAUAUUGUAGGAUCUUUAUCUUACAAUGUAAAGCACACUGAGGCAACUGUUGUUGUGAUUUGGUGCUAAAUAAAUAAAAUUUAAUUGAACUGAAUUGAAUUAUCCCCAGUAUGCUAAUCACAAGUUGUUAGCUGGAGAGCGUUCAGGUUCACAAUCUGAUUCAACAUUUGUUUGGAUUGUAAAACAUGAUCCAUCUUUUAUACUGUCUUUGGUCUGUAUAUAGUCUUGUCUGUGGGAAAAAGCAGGCAGGGACCAGAAAACUGGAAUAAACAUAAGGACAAAACACAUGAUUUGUUCCUUCAUACUUUUGAGUUCUUUUCCACCAAUCAUCUGACUAAAAACUCAGUUAUUCAAGGACUGAGAUGCUCUCUGUUCUGUCAUCAAAAAAUGUCUCUGAACAAGUCUCGACAUCAUGGAGGAGAUUGCCAUCUUUGAGAAUGGACAGAGACGAGUCUGCACCAGGAAAAGUUCGGGCAAAAAGAUGCUUUUCAAGGGAGUCAUGAGAAAUAUACAGAGAGCUCAUGUGAACCUCCUAGCUUCAAAAGAUGAGGAGCUGAAGUCGAAGAGAGCCUGGGAUAUUCUAUAAGUGAAUCUAAACUGGAAUGUGGGUAAUUCAACAGAAAACAUGCAUAAAGUGCCGGAGAACUCCAAUACUUUUAUGAUGACAGUAGGACAGCUGUGAGCUCUCACAGACAGGAAGAUGUCACAAAUCUGUGAAUCAUUGGAAUUGGCCUGACAUGUAACAGUGGUUACUGAUGUCUACCUGAUCUGGUCGACAUAAUUUCAGCACAACAGGUCUCCUCUCAAAUGUACGGAAGACGAUUAGGGCCACCAGAAGAAAAAGUGGGCACGUCUUUUUUUUCUUUUCCAGAAUUCUGAGAAAAAAAUCUGAAUUCUGAGAUUAAAGUCAUAAUAAUAAAUCCUGCCAGUUAUUUUGAAUCUUUUACCUAAAUAAAUAAGGAAAGAGCCAUAACUUUAUUUUCACUUCUCACUGGAAAACAUGAGUGUGAAUGGUUGUAUAUUUCUGUGUCUUAGCACUGCAAUAGGAUGGCAGCUUGUUCAGGGUGUGGCCUUUUUCAGGACUUAUAGAUGCUCACUGGAACAUGAAAACUGCUUGUAUGGAAUCACUAGUCAAAUAUUAAAAGAAUUCAAUGUCAUACUAAAUUGUGUGACGAUAGUUUUGCGAUGUUGUGAUGUGAUGUUGAAGAACUCUUAAGUACCGUACAUGCUACUCUUAAGUAAUGUGGCAUAAACCAAGCUAUGUUGUUCAGGUCAGCUGGUUUCUCACAGAAAAGACUCAAAACUUUUCUUUUUCCAAAUAAUUACACACAUUUACAAUAAUUUGAUUACACAGCAGUGGAGAGUAGACUUUAUCAAAAUGGUAAAUGGCCUGUAUUUGUAUAGCGCUUUUCUAGUCCGUAAGGACCCCAAAGCGCUUUACACAACCUGUCAUAAUGCAUUGAGUUUUUCCUUUCCAGUCACCUUUCUCACUCACUAUGUAUUAACAGACCUCUCUGCAUUGAAUCAUAUCUGCUAUUGACCUCUGUCUCUCUUCCACAGCAUGUCUUUUAUCCUGUCUUCCUUCUCUCACCCCAACCAGUCGCAGCAGAUGGCCCCGCCCCUCCCUGAGCCUGGUUCUGCCGGAGGUUUCUUCCUGUUAAAAGGGAGUUUUUCCUUCCCACUGUCGCCAAAGUGCUUGCUCAUAGGGGGUCAUAUGAUUGUUGGGUUUUUCUCUGUAUCUAUGAAGCGCCUUGAGGCGACUUUUGUUGUGAUUUGGCGCUAUAUAAAUAAAAUUGAAUUGAAUAGGCCAAAUGAACAUGAUACUUUCACUAAGAUAAAAUGGUAAAAUAUGUGAGAAAUUCAUUCUUAAAGAUUGUCUGCUCGACCACUAACUCUCAGACAAAAACUGGAAGCACAUUGUGAGAGUAAGCCUGUAUCAGUAAGCCUGGCUGUCGGUUGCAUGACAGAUGGCUUUCUCCAACACUACAUGAUGCCUUCAGCCUCUCACUCACCAAACAUGCUGGUCAACUCUUUAGCCC
ensembl:lncRNA